rnacentral:rRNA from 1 species
GACGAACGCUGGCGGCGUGCUUAACACAUGCAAGUCGAACGGUGAAAGCGGAGCUUGCUCCGCUGGAUCAGUGGCGAACGGGUGAGUAACACGUGGGCAACCUGCCCCUGACUUCGGGAUAACUCCUCGAAAGAGGUGCUAAUACCGGAUACGAAUCCUGCAGGCAUCUGCGGGGUUGGAAAGUUUUUCGGUCAGGGAUGGGCCCGCGGCCUAUCAGCUUGUUGGUGAGGUAGUGGCUCACCAAGGCGACGACGGGUAGCCGGCCUGAGAGGGCGACCGGCCACACUGGGACUGAGACACGGCCCAGACUCCUACGGGAGGCAGCAGUGGGGAAUAUUGCACAAUGGGCGCAAGCCUGAUGCAGCGACGCCGCGUGAGGGAUGACGGCCUUCGGGUUGUAAACCUCUUUUAGCAGGGAAGAAGCGAGAGUGACGGUACCUGCAGAAAAAGCACCGGCUAACUACGUGCCAGCAGCCGCGGUAA